rnacentral:lncRNA from 1 species
GCUCAGUAAUUCAAGUUUCAAAAUGUUAUAGUUGUCAAGAAAAUUACAUAUCUUAAAUUCUUUUGCAAGGUGCAGGAAUCUAAUAUUGGUUCUAAAAAUAUCAUUGAUGUCAUCGUUAAAGUAGUCUUAACAAGAGGCUCUCAAGAGCCUGAAUCGCUCACCUAUUGUUAUUUUUUGCUUAAAUCUUUCAUCAAUGAUUAUUUUUGCAGUUUACCCAUAUGUUCCAUUUUAGCCUUAGUGUCUUUGUUUCUUUACGUACCAGGG